rnacentral:rRNA from 1 species
GAUGAACGCUGGCGGCGUGCCUAAUACAUGCAAGUCGAGCGAACGGACGAGAAGCUUGCUUCUCUGAUGUUAGCGGCGGACGGGUAAGUAACACGUGGAUAACCUACCUAUAAGACUGGGAUAACUUCGGGAAACCGGAGCUAAUACCGGAUAAUAUUUUGAACCGCAUGGUUCAAAAGUGAAAGACGGUCUUGCUGUCACUUAUAGAUGGAUCCGCGCUGCAUUAGCUAGUUGGUAAGGUAACGGCUUACCAAGGCAACGAUGCAUAGCCGACCUGAGAGGGUGAUCAGCCACACUGGAACUGAGACACGGUCCAGACUCCUACGGGAGGCAGCAGUAGGGAAUCUUCCGCAAUGGGCGAAAGCCUGACGGAGCAACGCCGCGUGAGUGAUGAAGGUCUUCGGAUCGUAAAACUCUGUUAUUAGGGAAGAACAUAUGUGUAAGUAACUGUGCACAUCUUGACGGUACCUAAUCAGAAAGCCACGGCUAACUACGUG